rnacentral:rRNA from 1 species
GACGAACGCUGGCGGCGUGCUUAACACAUGCAAGUCGGGCGGUAAGGCCCUUUCGGGGGUACACGAGCGGCGAACGGGUGAGUAACACGUGGGUGACCUGCCCUCAGCUCUGGGAUAAGCCUGGGAAACCGGGUCUAAUACUGGAUAUGACCUCAUGCUGCAUGGUGUGGGGUGGAAAGCCUUGUGCGGCUGGGGAUGGGCCCGCGGCCUAUCAGCUUGUUGGUGGGGUGAUGGCCUACCAAGGCGACGACGGGUAGCCGGCCUGAGAGGGCGAUCGGCCACACUGGGACUGAGACACGGCCCAGACUCCUACGGGAGGCAGCAGUGGGGAAUCUUGCGCAAUGGGCGAAAGCCUGACGCAGCGACGCCGCGUGGGGGAUGAAGGUCUUCGGAUUGUAAACCCCUUUCGGGAGGGAAGAUGGAACGAGCAAUCGUUCGGACGGUACCUCCAGAAGCAGCCACGGCUAACUUCGUGCCAGCAGCCGCGGUAAUACGAAGGUGGCAAGCGUUGUUCGGAUUUACUGGGCGUACAGGGAGCGUAGGCGGUUUGGUAAGCCCCUUGGGAAAUCUCCCGGCUUAACCGGGAAAGGUCGGGGGGGACUGCCAGGCUAGAGGACGGGAGAGGAGCGCGGAAUUCCCGGU